rnacentral:rRNA from 2 species
UUAAGCGACUAAGCGUACACGGUGGAUGCCCUGGCAGUCAGAGGCGAUGAAGGACGUGCUAAUCUGCGAUAAGCGUCGGUGAGGUGAUAUGAACCGUUAUAACCGGCGAUUUCCGAAUGGGGAAACCCAGUGUGUUUCGACACACUAUCAUUAACUGAAUCCAUAGGUUAAUGAGGCGAACCGGGGGAACUGAAACAUCUAAGUACCCCGAGGAAAAGAAAUCAACCGAGAUUCCCCCAGUAGCGGCGAGCGAACGGGGAGGAGCCCAGAGCCUGAAUCAGUGUGUGUGUUAGUGGAAGCGUCUGGAAAGGCGCGCGAUACAGGGUGACAGCCCCGUACACAAAAAUGCACAUGCUGUGAGCUCGAUGAGUAGGGCGGGACACGUGGUAUCCUGUCUGAAUAUGGGGGGACCAUCCUCCAAGGCUAAAUACUCCUGACUGACCGAUAGUGAACCAGUACCGUGAGGGAAAGGCGAAAAGAACCCCGGCGAGGGGAGUGAAAAAGAACCUGAAACCGUGUACGUACAAGCAGUGGGAGCCUCUUAAUGGGGUGACUGCGUACCUUUUGUAUAAUGGGUCAGCGACUUAUAUUCUGUAGCAAGGUUAACCGAAUAGGGGAGCCGAAGGGAAACCGAGUCUUAACUGGGCGUUAAGUUGCAGGGUAUAGACCCGAAACCCGGUGAUCUAGCCAUGGGCAGGUUGAAGGUUGGGUAACACUAACUGGAGGACCGAACCGACUAAUGUUGAAAAAUUAGCGGAUGACUUGUGGCUGGGGGUGAAAGGCCAAUCAAACCGGGAGAUAGCUGGUUCUCCCCGAAAGCUAUUUAGGUAGCGCCUCGUGAAUUCAUCUCCGGGGGUAGAGCACUGUUUCGGCAAGGGGGUCAUCCCGACUUACCAACCCGAUGCAAACUGCGAAUACCGGAGAAUGUUAUCACGGGAGACACACGGCGGGUGCUAACGUCCGUCGUGAAGAGGGAAACAACCCAGACCGCCAGCUAAGGUCCCAAAGUCAUGGUUAAGUGGGAAACGAUGUGGGAAGGCCCAGACAGCCAGGAUGUUGGCUUAGAAGCAGCCAUCAUUUAAAGAAAGCGUAAUAGCUCACUGGUCGAGUCGGCCUGCGCGGAAGAUGUAACGGGGCUAAACCAUGCACCGAAGCUGCGGCAGCGACACUAUGUGUUGUUGGGUAGGGGAGCGUUCUGUAAGCCUGUGAAGGUGGCCUGUGAGGGUUGCUGGAGGUAUCAGAAGUGCGAAUGCUGACAUAAGUAACGAUAAAGCGGGUGAAAAGCCCGCUCGCCGGAAGACCAAGGGUUCCUGUCCAACGUUAAUCGGGGCAGGGUGAGUCGACCCCUAAGGCGAGGCCGAAAGGCGUAGUCGAUGGGAAACAGGUUAAUAUUCCUGUACUUGGUGUUACUGCGAAGGGGGGACGGAGAAGGCUAUGUUGGCCGGGCGACGGUUGUCCCGGUUUAAGCGUGUAGGCUGGUUUUCCAGGCAAAUCCGGAAAACCAAGGCUGAGGCGUGAUGACGAGGCACUACGGUGCUGAAGCGACAAAUGCCCUGCUUCCAGGAAAAGCCUCUAAGCAUCAGGUAACAUCAAAUCGUACCCCAAACCGACACAGGUGGUCAGGUAGAGAAUACCAAGGCGCUUGAGAGAACUCGGGUGAAGGAACUAGGCAAAAUGGUGCCGUAACUUCGGGAGAAGGCACGCUGAUAUGUAGGUGAAGUCCCUCGCGGAUGGAGCUGAAAUCAGUCGAAGAUACCAGCUGGCUGCAACUGUUUAUUAAAAACACAGCACUGUGCAAACACGAAAGUGGACGUAUACGGUGUGACGCCUGCCCGGUGCCGGAAGGUUAAUUGAUGGGGUUAGCGGCAACGCGAAGCUCUUGAUCGAAGCCCCGGUAAACGGCGGCCGUAACUAUAACGGUCCUAAGGUAGCGAAAUUCCUUGUCGGGUAAGUUCCGACCUGCACGAAUGGCGUAAUGAUGGCCAGGCUGUCUCCACCCGAGACUCAGUGAAAUUGAACUCGCUGUGAAGAUGCAGUGUACCCGCGGCAAGACGGAAAGACCCCGUGAACCUUUACUAUAGCUUGACACUGAACAUUGAGCCUUGAUGUGUAGGAUAGGUGGGAGGCUUUGAAGUGUGGACGCCAGUCUGCAUGGAGCCGACCUUGAAAUACCACCCUUUAAUGUUUGAUGUUCUAACGUGGGCCCCUAAUCGGGGUUGCGGACAGUGUCUGGUGGGUAGUUUGACUGGGGCGGUCUCCUCCUAAAGAGUAACGGAGGAGCACGAAGGUUGGCUAAUCCUGGUCGGACAUCAGGAGGUUAGUGCAAUGGCAUAAGCCAGCUUGACUGCGAGCGUGACGGCGCGAGCAGGUGCGAAAGCAGGUCAUAGUGAUCCGGUGGUUCUGAAUGGAAGGGCCAUCGCUCAACGGAUAAAAGGUACUCCGGGGAUAACAGGCUGAUACCGCCCAAGAGUUCAUAUCGACGGCGGUGUUUGGCACCUCGAUGUCGGCUCAUCACAUCCUGGGGCUGAAGUAGGUCCCAAGGGUAUGGCUGUUCGCCAUUUAAAGUGGUACGCGAGCUGGGUUUAGAACGUCGUGAGACAGUUCGGUCCCUAUCUGCCGUGGGCGCUGGAGAACUGAGGGGGGCUGCUCCUAGUACGAGAGGACCGGAGUGGACGCAUCACUGGUGUUCGGGUUGUCAUGCCAAUGGCACUGCCCGGUAGCUAAAUGCGGAAGAGAUAAGUGCUGAAAGCAUCUAAGCACGAAACUUGCCCCGAGAUGAGUUCUCCCUGACUCCUUGAGAGUCCUGAAGGAACGUUGAAGACGACGACGUUGAUAGGCCGGGUGUGUAAGCGCAGCGAUGCGUUGAGCUAACCGGUACUAAUGAACCGUGAGGCUUAACCUU